rnacentral:rRNA from 1 species
GGAGCUUACCAUGCAAGUCGAGCGCACUCUUCGGAGUGAGCGGCGGACGGGUUAGUAACGCGUGGGAACGUGCCCUUCUCUAAGGAAUAGCCACUGGAAACGGUGAGUAAUACCUUAUACGCCCUUCGGGGGAAAGAUUUAUCGGAGAAGGAUCGGCCCGCGUUAGAUUAGAUAGUUGGUGGGGUAAUGGCCUACCAAGUCUACGAUCUAUAGCUGGUUUUAGAGGAUGAUCAGCAACACUGGGACUGAGACACGGCCCAGACUCCUACGGGAGGCAGCAGUGGGGAAUCUUGGACAAUGGGCGCAAGCCUGAUCCAGCCAUGCCGCGUGAGUGAUGAAGGCCUUAGGGUCGUAAAGCUCUUUCGCCAGAGAUGAUAAUGACAGUAUCUGGUAAAGAAACCCCGGCUAACUCCGUGCCAGCAGCCGCGGUAAUACGGAGGGGGUUAGCGUUGUUCGGAAUUACUGGGCGUAAAGCGCACGUAGGCGGAUCAGAAAGUAUAGGGUGAAAUCCCAGGGCUCAACCCUGGAACUGCCUUGUAAACUCCUGGUCUUGAGUUCGAGAGAGGUGAGUGGAAUUCCGAGUGUAGAGGUGAAAUUCGUAGAUAUUCGGAGGAACACCAGUGGCGAAGGCGGCUCACUGGCUCGAUACUGACGCUGAGGUGCGAAAGUGUGGGGAGCAAACAGGAUUAGAUACCCUGGUAGUCC